rnacentral:misc_RNA from 1 species
AAAUUUGAAGAAAUGUGUCUAGAGCCUGCUAAGGAGUUCUGGCCAACAUUUUCCCAGACAUUUUAGAAGAGUAUGCCAUAUUAAGAUGGGCUGAUGAGAAAAAGGAUGCUGAAGAAUAAGAUAAAGUUUUUGUAAAGCAAUCAGAAAAGUUUAUUCAGUGGUUGAAAGAGGCACCCAAAGAAGAAUCUGAAGAAAAAGACUAAGAUUGGAGAAAGAGACCCAUUUCAUAAUUGAGAUUGUAAAGAAGCUGA